UGUACUGCCUUACAAGCUCACGUGAACGGUUUCAAACUCUGUUCUGUCUGAUCUCAUCUUUUAUGUAUUUUAUAUCAUUUUUGGCAGAAGGAACUUGAUGACGACACAAAAUACAAGCAAAAUAUCCGAAAGAUACACUACCAAGCUAUAAAUAACUCUCAUUUCGCAAUGGGACAGCUCAAGCGAACGUUACGUAUGUGCUGAUACGGACGGACGGAUGACAACUGUGGAUGAAAAAUUACGGAUAGAUGACAAUUGCGGGUAGAAGAACGAAUUUGACAGACAGAUGAGCUAAUAUCAUACAAAACGUAUGUUUUAAGGCUAGUCCACGUUUUAUCCGACGGGUGAAACGCGGAUAUGGUUUAAAAUAUGGCUUUCACGCUAUUUCAAUGAUCCGCGUUUUAAUCUAACCAGUAUUUUAAUAUAUGAGAGAAUAAAGCCAAGUUUUCACUAGCGACAUAAGCACAAGCAAGAAAGCAAAGCAAACCAUGUUCUCCAGAGAUUGGUGGAAAUAAAAGAAAAAGGAUUUUCUUUUCAAUUUAAUUUUGUUUUACCUUAUGCUUAUGUUUAUGCUUAUGCUGAUGCUAAUGCUUCUGACA